GCUUCUGUGGCGGAAUGGCAUACGCAGCCGACUUAAAAUCGGUAGCCUUCGGGCUUGUGGGUUCGACUCCCACCAGGAGCAC
rnacentral:tRNA from 2 species